rnacentral:rRNA from 1 species
AACGAACGCUGGCGGCGUGCCUAACACAUGCAAGUCGAGCGCGAAAGGGGUAACCCGAGUAGAGCGGCGCACGGGUGCGUAACACGUGGGUAAUCUGCCCUAGAGUCCUGGAUAACCGUCCGAAAGGAUGGCUAAUACGGGGUAAGCCCCCGACGUCUUCGGACGUUGAGGGAAAAGGUGGCCUCUGUUUACAAGCUACCGCUCGAGGAUGAGCCCGCGGCCCAUCAGCUAGUUGGCGGGGUAAUGGCCCACCAAGGCGACGACGGGUAGCGGGUCUGAGAGGACGAUCAGCCACACUGGAACUGAGACACGGUCCAGACUCCUACGGGAGGCAGCAGUGGGGAAUUUUGCGCAAUGGGCGAAAGCCUGACGCAGCAACGCCGCGUGUGUGAUGAAGGUCUUCGGAUUGUAAAGCACUUUCGACCGGGACGAAAAAACGGGUGCUAAUCAGCCCGUCUUGACGGUACCGGGAGAAGAAGCACCGGCUAACUCUGUGCCAGCCGCCGCUGUAAAAC